rnacentral:lncRNA from 1 species
GGAAGAAGGCCAUUUACCAGCUUGCUCACUCGCCCAUCUUUCUUAUAUGGCCCUGCCCAUCUGCCUCAAGAUGGGGCCUCCCUCAGUAACCUAGGCCCUUCUCUGUCAGUCAAGACAGUUUCUCACAGAUAUACCCACAGGCUGGUCAGAACCAUGUAGUUAGUUCUUCCAUUAGGGUUCCUCUUCCUUCAUGAUUCUAGGUUGUUUCAGGUUCACAAUUAACACUUAUCAAGACAAACCACAAUGUUAAUAGCUUAUAUUUAUCAAGUGUUUAUUAUGGGCACUAUGUAGACCUCAGUUUUUCUCAUAUACUGAGAGAAUUGUUUCAGUAAUCUUGGAGUAGGCCCCUUUAAUUCUAUUUUUACAGAUGUAAUAAUUGAAAUGCAGAAUGGUCAAACAACUUGCAUAAGCUUAAGUAGCUAAUGGUGAAGCUGUGAUUUGAAAAGUGGCAAUGGAGAUUAAGAAUACUUGUUAUUUUUAUUAUUAUUAAUCAUUCCAUUCAUUUACAUCUCAAAUAAUAUCCCACUUCCUAGUUACCUCCUCCACCAACCCCCCCACCCCACAUCCACCCCUCUCCCCUUUGCCUGUAUGAGAGCGCUCUCACACCCACCCACACUCUUCUGCCCCACUACUCCAGCAUGCCCCUAUUCUGAGGCAUCAAACCUCCCAGGGACCAAGGGCCUCCCAUCCUGUUCCUGUCAGGCAAGGCCAUCCUCUGCUGUAUAUGUAUCUCAAGCCAUGAAUUCCCUCCCGGUACAGUCCUUGGUUGGUGGUCUAGACCCUGGGAGAACUGGGUGGUCAGGACAGUCUAUGUUGUUCUUCCAGUGGGGUUGCAACCCCCCUAUGCUCCUCUAGUUCUUCUGCCAGCUCCCUCACCAGGUUCCCAUAGCUCAGUCUGAUGGCUGGUUCCAAGCAUCCUCAUCUGCAUUGGUCAGUUGCUGGCUGGACCUCCAAAGGAACCACAACACUAGGUUCCUGUCCACAAGCACGUCUUGACCAUGACAAUGGUGUCCGGUUUGGUGUCUGCACAUAUGAUGUAUCCCCAGGUAGGGCUGUUCCUGAUUGGCCCUUCCUUCAGUCUCUGUUCCAUAUUUUGUCCCUGUUCUUUCUUUGGGCAGGAACAUUUCUGCAUUAAAACACUUUGAGAUGGGUGGGUGGCCCCAUCCCUCAUCCAGGGGCUGAGCCUAUCUACUGGAGGUGAUCUCCACAGAUUCUUUCUUCCUCUUCUCUGCGCAUUACAGCUAAAGUCAAUCCUGGGUCCUGGAAGCUUCUGAGUCCCUCUAGUGGCUCAUCCCCAGUUCCUUAUUCCCACCCCCCACCCCCCAACACACCUAUUUUUGUUUGAUUUCCUGACCCUCUGUACCUCUCUCACAUCUCCUCCAGUUCCUGAUCCUGCCACCCUUAUUUCCUUCCCAUCUUUUCUCCUUCCCUUGUCCUCCUCUCCUUCCAUUUCCCAUAAUCUUCCUGUUACCCCUCAAUGCAGGACUGAAGCAUCCACCCCCUGAUCUUCCUUCCUUCUAUGCUCCAUAUGGUCUGUAGGUUGUAUUAUGGGCUUUGUGAGCUUUUGGGCUUGUGUUAACUUAUCAGUGAGUGCAUACCAUGUGUUUUCUCUUGUGACUGGGUUACCUCACUCAGGAUGAUAUUUUCUAGUUCCAUCCAUUUGCCUGUGAAUUUCAUGAAGUCAUUGUUUCUAAUCUCUGCAUAGUACUCCAUUGUGUAUAUGUACCACAUUUUCUAUAUCCAUUCUUCUGUUGAGGGACAUCUGGAUUGUUACUUGUUCUUAAUCCAAGUGCAGAAGUUUUUGCUCAAGGGCAAGUUAGGAAAAAAAGGAAAAGCCAAGUGAGUGGUUUAAACUUAGAUAUUUUAAAACCUUUUAUUAGUAGACUGAAGAAAAAUAAAUUAAACAGAAUGUCUUUAGUUUUCAGAAGAUAAAGUUUGUACUUACUAGUAAUUUAUUGUUUUGGACAACUUUAUAUGACAUUUAAACUAAGACAUGUUUCAUGAUGAAUUAAGAAAAUUGGAUUUUAUCAUUGUGAACUAAAACUUUUUGUUGGAGAAGUCAUAAUGGCUUGAGAAGAAAGCAUAGCUAUGCCUUGUCAUAAUUUUGAUCCAUAGGAUUGCUGGGAAUGCAGGGUAUUUGGCCUUCAUUGGCAGGUUCCUCACUUACCCUCUGUUUCUUAAUGAAGCCUGAAUUUUUUUGUCAUAAUUUUUUGUUACUCUCAUUCUUCUCUGAAAAUAUAUUAUCUGGCUUGCUAUGACGUUUUAACUGUCUUGAGCUUUCCUGAAACUUCUAUGCUCUUUGGAGAUUUUGAUUAUUAUUAUAAUGCAAUCAUUGUACCUUAUAGUACUUAACUAAAACUUUAAACUUACCCAGAAGUUUUCUGUAAUGCUAAGUCUGUGCGAAGCAUUGUAAAAGUAGCAUGUGGAGAGAGAGGUGAGGAGGAAGCUGGUGCUGGGACAAUGGAAUGCUCCUCUUGCAGAGGUUGCUUAGGAAGCUGCUUCUCUGCAUGUGUUCUCUGUCAGUACUGCUCGGUUUACAGUGCUUGUUAAUUACAGGGAUACGUUUUCUAUUUUGUAGCUCCUCAUAGAAUCAGAAUUCUGGAGGUCUAAGGAGUUUAAAUAUUUAUCAUAAGCAAUGUGGAAACUGGCAGUAGAUACAGUAGCAGUGGUUAGGAGCAAAGGCAUAGGUAGCAGUCAGACUGUAGUCAUACUUAUUUACACAUUUAUACAGGAAUUGAAAUUCCUGUGUAUUUUUGGCUUUCUUAAAAACUUCCUAGGCCUGUUUCCACAUAUUUUAAGAAGAUUUCUAUGUAUCGGCAGCAAGAUGGCAUGUGCUGUGAAUCCAGAACCCACAUGAUGGGAGGAAAGAACCAAUUCUUAUGCAAGUUGUCCUGUGACUCCCACACAUGUCAUGGCCCAUAUGUGCUCUCCCCCAAAUGCAAACAAAUAUAAAAAAGGAUCUUUAGAAGGGAAGUAGAGAAUUACAUGUAAAGAAUUUAAUUAAGGUCUUGUCCACUGAUAGGUACUGAAAAACAACAGCUGUACGAAAAAGUUCCUAUAAAUAGUAAAUCUUUGAUCCACGAUGAUAUGGGGAGGGCUGCUUUCAUUUCAAAAUGGACAGACAUAUGGAUAAGAGGUUUCUUAGGAUUGUGGAUUUGUUUACGAUGUUCUUUUGUUUUGAUUCACUCAUAGCUUGCUAAGGAAUUGUGAGCUUUCCAAUACUUAGGUGAGGUUGGUCCCUGCUUGUUAAGAGAGCUUCCUGGGCAGUGCUGGCACGCACCCCAGAGAGAGCACUUUAGAAGGGAAACAAGCCAAUAUGUGGAUGUUUUGCUGUCUUUAAGAAUGAGAAAAAUCUUAAGACCCAGUUUUACAGUUAUAAAGAUCAGACAAAUCCCCACUGUUUAUUGUAAUUUGUUCUUAUUGUCUGAAAAUAAGUUAUGGCUAAUAACCAGUGGAUAUGAGCACUGGCUGCGCCUCUGGCCAUUUGAUUCUGAAACUUGGUUGGGUACAUGUGUGACUCAGUUGAAACAUUCAUUUUUAAUACCUUAGUGUGCUUUAGUAAAAUAAAAUAAGCAGGGUUUUGAUAUAAAUGCACAUAUAGGGAUUGUGAUAGUACCUAGCAAAUAGUAAGAUUUUUAUCAUUAUUAUCUUGUGUUACAGUUUAAGUUCACUUUUAGUUUGUUUAUACAGGACCUAGAGAACGUUCAAUCAGUACCUUCUAUAUAAUAGGCUUGCAGGAGUCAUCCUCAGCCUGUUUGAUCUUGUUAUUGUUCUUUAAUAUUUGAUUUUACUUGCCUUCAUCAACCUUAAAAGUGAUGAUGUUGUACUCAAAUUAGAGAAUCGAUGAAUCCCGGUUUUAUUUUUCAUGUAUCCUUGUUUCAGAUUAAACGUAGGCAGAAUUCAUUUUAUUUGUCUAGUUGUUUCUUCCUCCUUCUAAAUGAUGUGUUUUUGUGUAAAUAUUGAAGAUACUGUUUGUUUUCUUUUGUUUGUUUCUCUUUGGGGGUAUGAUUGCUAAUAGUUUUCAAACUCCCAUGCAUUCUUUAUUGGGUCUGGAAAUAAAACUCUUCCCUAAAAUCCAGUACUCCUAAGAGGUUCUGCAAUAGAUAAGGUGAUUUGUAGUUUUAAUUGAUACAUUUAUUUAGGAUAUAUAUGCUAUAACCUUAGAGGCAUGUAUUUAAAGACUUAAAUAUAUAAGAAGGAGAGACCAUCUUCCAUUUCUAUGCUUGGAGUUAAAAGCAGAGGAGCACCCAGAGUGGACUGCUGCCAUAAUAAGGUUACACCAUGUUCUCAUCACUCAGAAAACACUCUCCUGCUCCAUUCCACCCCUAAACACAUGGGCCGCACAGCUGCUCUAUGGCUGUGUGCUGUCCCAUGUGUGUUAGGCCCACACAGCCUGCAAAGAGGUUGCAUUUUGGAGCAUGGUAGUAGCAUGGCUGGCUGGAGACCCCAGAAGUGUAGCUGCCAGAAUCCUGCCAUCUGGCAAUGUGGCUGCCUCGGUUCUUCAGCUCAGGGCUUAAGUGCAUUUUUGCUGAGCUCAUUUGCUGUUGCCACAGCUAUGAAGGCAGAUAUGGGUGAAUGGUCAUGGAGCUAGCAGGAAGAUGUUUAAUUAGAAACACUAGUGUUCAAGGUGAGGGAACAUGCAAUAAAGUGUGGAAAAUGCAUUUGAACUUUCACAAUAGAUGCAAGAAGCUUAGCAACAUCUUUUAACUGCUAUGAAGACCUUUAAAUUACAGAAUUGUGGGGGUGUGGUAUAGAAUUGCUAUUUUAAAAUUCUUGACAUUUUAAACAUGGCAGAAGGUUAUACAAAAGCACACAUUUUGUUUUUAAAGAAAAAUAAUCAUGAUUGUUCUCACUUAAUGAAAGUUUGUUUUCAUUUCAUUAAAAAUUCUCUGAAUAUUGAACAUAAUUCAACAGUCUAUG